AUUGAACGCUGGCGGCAUGCUUUACACGUGCAAGUCGAACGGUAACAGGCCGCAAGGUGCUGACGAGUGGCGAACGGGUGAGUAAUGCAUCGGAACGUGCCCAGUCGUGGGGGAUAACGCAGCGAAAGCUGCGCUAAUACCGCAUACGAUCUGUGGAUGAAAGCGGGGGACCGUAAGGCCUCGCGCGAUUGGAGCGGCCGAUGUCAGAUUAGGUAGUUGGUGAGGUAAAGGCUCACCAAGCCGACGAUCUGUAGCUGGUCUGAGAGGACGACCAGCCACGCUGGGACUGAGACACGGCCCAGACUCCUACGGGAGGCAGCAGUGGGGAAUUUUGGACAAUGGGGGCAACCCUGAUCCAGCAAUGCCGCGUGCAGGAAGAAGGCCUUCGGGUUGUAAACUGCUUUUGUACGGAACGAAACGGCUCCGGUUAAUACCCGGAGCUAAUGACGGUACCGUAAGAAUAAGCACCGGCUAACUACGUGCCAGCCGCCGCAGUAAAAC
rnacentral:rRNA from 1 species